CCCUUGAGGGCUGAGUGACUGUGUUUCCCUGGUUCUGCAGGGUUAGGGUUAGGGUUAGGUCCCUUAGGGUUAGGGUUAGGAUUAGGGUUAGGGUUAGGGUUAGGAUUAGACCUGAACCCAGGGCUGCCAUUGUCAAGACCCCGUAAGAUGAGUGAGGACACAGGACAAGGUGCCGCUUAGAGCAGUCCGCCUGUCAAGGGAGGGUUGGGUGGAAACUGUGGGAGGGAAGAGAGAACCCAGAGGGCCAGAGGGAAGGAGCCGGCCGUGAGAGAUGGCGAGAUGAAGAGCAGUGACAGGAACGGCUGGGUCGUCCUCGGUCUCUGUAGCUCCCGUGUCCCGGCCUGGGUGACGUGAAGGAAGAUGAGCACCUCGAGCACACUCGUGAGGGUCUCGUUACGUGGCGAGGGCGUGGGGUAGGGUGGCUGUGUCUUCACAAAGCUCCCCGUGAGUGAGGCUUCUGUCCCAUCAGACAGGUCAUUGUUCCUCCGUGGUCUGGGGUCAGCCGCUCAGCAGGCCCCAGUGUGUGCUCACCCCACACAAGGGCUGCACCUCCAUCAGCCUGCAGGGGGCCUCCCUGCCUCCCAGCCAGUCUGUCUGUUGACCCGGAAGCAGUUACAGGGAACCAGGGCAGUGGUUGGAUUGCGAGCUACAUCCUCUCAGCUGGAAGAACAUGACCCCAGACUACCUGGAGUACAAAAUAGUGUCCCACGUACUGCUGGAGUCAGGAAAGGUACUGUUGAUUUAAGAAGAUUCAUCACUUUAAGGAGAUUCUCGUCACUUUAUAGUGACGUCUGCAACAACAUACCAGCCACAUCGUCAUCAGAACCCAGGAGCGAUGCUUUGUGAGAACUGGAUUCUUAACCAGGGACUGCAGUUGAUUUUUAUUCCAAAGGCCAGUUUCUAUUUUUCAAAGUCACACUCCCUCCAAGUCCACAUGUGACAUAGACUCCAGAAGCCAGAGGCCUAGAUCCAGUUUGUCUCUUUGAAUUUCAACUUUAUUCCUAAGUUAGGUUAACAAGAAUUAUUAGAAUGAUAUUGUCUCUAAAAUCUACUUAAAAAUUCAGUUUUAUAGUCUUUAUUUUAUGAUCAUUUUGGUAGAUAAGGAUCUAAAUUAACAAAAGCUUUCUUAUUUGGUAGUUCUACUAGUCUGAACUCCAGGUGCUUUUAGGCACAUUGUACCAUAUGUAGUAGAUUGUAUUUGUCCUAGUUUUUUGUUCUCUUUGCAUGUGUGUUUUGUUUGAUAUUUCAGAAGUAUUAUAUAGCUCAGGUCUCACAUUGCCCUAAGCAUAUAUUUACACCUUUAGUCCCCUUUUUUCACAAAUCUCAUAUUAUAUUAUAUUCUACCUCAUAUUAUGUAUAUAUUCUACACUUGAUUUUAGCCAAAAGGCCGAGAAGCGCUGUAUAUAUAUUCUAAAUGUUCGGCUGUGUUUACCAUAUGUAGUAGAUUGUGUUCCUCACAGUUCUUUCUCCGUGCUGCUUGUGUUUUGGAAUGCAGGAAGGAUCAGAGGGCUUGAGAUUCACGGCGCCCUAAGACCCGUGUUUUCUUUCAUUUGACAAGUGUGUCAUAGUUACUUUGACAGUUUUACAUCAUAUCUCUCAACUUGAGGCAGCACCUUGGCAGCACUUAUUUUCCUUCUUUCUACCCAGUUACCUGCCAUUUAUAGUGUUAUUUCCGCCCAGGCAUACAUACCCCAGUUACACACCAUUUCUCCUACCUGUCUACACCACUGUUUUUCUUGAGAUCCAGAUGUAAUGUAUCACUGCUCACCCUCUCUUCAACAUCGAUUGUCCUCAGUUCUAUCUACUUAGUGGGUGAAAUUGAUCUGUAAGCAUUGUCACGAUGGAAUCGAGUGGCUGUCGGUUCUGCAUUAUUGUUAUACUCUAUCCACUGCCUCGACACAGAAAGUGUGAAGGAUAGGAGGUCUUUCCAAAAAUGAUUUUUUGAGUGUUUAGAAAAUAUUUUUGUGCUUUUUGGGAGAGGUGUGCUGCAUCUGUUUUCUGGGCUUCAUUUUUGUUCUACCCAGCACAAAUUGCUACCAGUUGUUAGUAUUUCAUUGUAAGUCAGUGUUGAAAAAUGCCCAUUUGUUGUUUAAUUUUGUUUCUUUGAAACAGUAUUCCAAUAAAAUCUGCCAACUGAGA